rnacentral:lncRNA from 1 species
UGGGGGGGGGUCUUAAAGCUCCCCCCCCCCCAAAAAGGCCCCGCACGGCGUGUCAGCAUAAGAGUAUCACAGCUGGAGGUGAUGCUGAAGCAGCUGAGGGGAACUGCAGGAGGAGCAGGAGGCGAAGGCCCGUUUGCACGCUGAGCUGCGGACGCUGCGACGCAGCAACCGCCGGCUGCAACGUGAGCACGAGGACGCGGCUGCACGACUGCGGCGUGUCACACAACUGUUGCACGAGGACCCCCCCGAAACCCCCCCCGACACACCCCCAGGGACACCCCCCCUUUAAAGGGACCCCCCUUGCACACGCGUGUGCAAGCACUUGUGCAUGAGGCCUGUGAUUGAGAGCCCCUCUUUUAAAGGGACCACCCCCUUGCACACGCGUGUGUGCGAUCGCUUGUGCAUGAGGUCUUGGACCCCCCUUGCACACGCGUGUGCAAGCACUUGUGCAUGAAGCCUUGCACAACGAUUGUGUGAGUCCUUGACACCCCCCCUUUAAAGGGACCCCCCCUUGCACACGUGUGUGCAAGCAACUACUCAUGCACAACGCCUUGCACGACUAUGGUGUGCAUGUGUGCAAGGGGGGCUUGCACUAUGGUGGUGCACACUCGUGUGCUGCCGUGCACACCCCCACUGUGUGCUCACCCCCACCUUGCACACUUGUGUGCUCACACCCAUUGUGCACACUUGUGUAGAGUACUCAUGUAUUACACACUCACCUUGCACACCCACCUUGCACACUCACACCCAAUGGACCCCCAUUGCACACUCACCCACCCUCACGUAUUACACACACACUCACCUUGCACACCCACUCCUCGUGCCCCCCCUCGCUCACACUCCUUGCACACCCACUCCUCGUGCACACUCCCCUUGCACUUACACUCAUUCACUCUCCUUUGCACACUCACACUUCAUGCAACCACUCCCUCUUUGCACACCCCCCCCGGUGAACUCAUGCCCCCUCCCCUUGCACAC